rnacentral:rRNA from 1 species
UACGUAGGAUGCAAGCGUUGUCCGGAUUUACUGGGCGUAAAGCGCGCGUAGGCGGCCCGGUAAGUCCGCUCUGAAAGUCCAGGGCUCAACCCUGGAAUGCGGGUGGAUACUGCCGGGCUAGAGUCCGGAAGAGGCGAAGUGGAAUUCCUGGUGUAGCGGUGGAAUGCGCAGAUAUCAGGAGGAACACCGGUGGCGAAGGCGGGUCUCUGGGCCGAUACUGACGCUGAGGAGCGAAAGCAUGGGUAGCGAACAGG